CGUUUAGUUGUAACAGACAAAUACACGUAUUUAUGUAGAUAAACAAGACCCUUGUUACUUUGGAAAGCCCUGUCAGUCUUCCACUAUGUAACGUUUAGCUGCAGCUGUACUAGACAACCUGUAGGGGACCGAAGCUCCGCUCCGACUGCACGCGCGCUCCCGCGGCCAGGGGAUACAAAUCCUGGCGGGGAUAAGUACCUUGGCACGACACCGAAAUCUGGCUGCUGGCUAGCCAAGUGGAACUGGAAAGCUGCAUAAAAGAUGUAAAUUCUGCAAAAAGCGUGUCUCACCUUGGACGCACUUGGAGAGGUCCCGGAGAUUGAAGACAUAGUGGGACUUAGCAGGAGUGGGC